AAGCCAGCCUCUCUUUCUCCCUCUCUCUCUUUCUCUUUUAGAGCCUGGUCAGGAGUUGGGUCGGGCAAGGGCCUUGCUUUUGUCGCGGUCGAAGCGGGAGACGGGCGGCAUCUGGCCAUGGAGAUCGGCACCGAGAUCAGCCGCAAGAUCCGGAGUGCUAUAAAAGGAAAGCUACAGGAACUGGGAGCAUAUGUUGACGAGGAGCUCCCUGAUUAUAUCAUGGUGAUGGUGGCCAACAAGAAGAGCCAGGAACAGAUGGCAGAGGAUCUUUCCCUUUUUCUAGGAAACAACACUGUGAGAUUUACAGUUUGGCUCCAUGGUGUGCUAGAUAAGCUUCGAUCAGUAACUACAGAACCUCCUAGCCUGAAAUCCUCUGAAUCGAAUGCCUUUGAGAGCAGUCUUCCUUCUGUGAAAAGCAUAUCAGCAGGGAGUGAGGAGAGGAGGGCGGAAGAGAUCCUGCAACCUCUUACGGUCACAAGUUCUCGGCCAGAAAGGACCGACUCCCGAGUUUCAACAAGCUCCCUGGAGCAGAGUGCUCCUAUUGCCCGACCGCCCCACCUGGAUGGCUCCGCAUCCCUUUUGAUGUCUACUGUGAAACCUCUCAGAGAGCUUUCUCCUUUGGAAGCUGUGAUUGACAUUAAGCCAGAACCGGAUGAUCUCAUUGAUGAAGACCUCAAUUUUGUGCAAGAGAAUCGUUUGCCCCGAAAGAAACCUCUAGUGACAGUGACUUACGGCUCUUCCCGCCCGUCUGCCGAAAUCUACCGCCCACCAGCCAGUCGAAACAUGGAAGGCAACGUUCACUUCCAGAGGCUGCCUCCAAACAGCCUACAGACUGCCAGGCAGCUUGAGAUCCAGGGCGGCAGGUCACUGGACACAAUCCAGCUCUGCGAUCCAGACGCGUUUGGCAGCUUGACGGAGAGUUACAGGCCCCCUUCCAAAGGGAACGCUGAUAAAAUUAGCAAUGAGGAAGAAACUCUAAGGAAGAGAAAGCUCCCAGUUGUUAGCUCAGUAGUCAAAGUGAAACGGUUCAGUAACGAUGGGGAGGAGGAAGAAGAAGAGGAAGAUUAUGGAUUACGACUGGGAGGCAUCUCCAGCAGUGUUUCUGUACCUGCGAAACCAGAGAGAAGGCCUUCACUGCCACCUUCUAAGCAGGCCAAUAAGAACUUAAUAUUGAAAGCUAUCUCUGAAGCUCAGGAGUCAGUUACAAAGACAACUAAUUAUUCUACAGUUCCACCAAAGCAGACAGUUCCCGUGGCUCCCAGGACCCGGAGCUCUCAAGAGGAAGCCUUUUUGGAAGCCAUUCAUGGCCAGAGCCGUGUGUCCAGAGUGACCACCCAGAUGCUGGUUGAAGAGCCAAGAGAACAAGCAUUGGAGAGAAUUCCAGGAAACCAGCAAAGGCAGCUCUUUUCCCGUCUCCAGAUAGAACCAGGCUUUGAAGCUGCCUUAGAGAAGGCCCAAGGUUAUUAUGACUUGGAAUCCAUGGUCCACACAGAUACCAGAUCAUUUAUCCUAAAAAAACCGAAGCUGUCUGAGGAGGUCAUGGUGUCUCAGAACCUAGAAGUGGCAAAUAGGGCCGCAGAUGCCUUGCAGGCUCUUUCAGGACGGCUGAUACAGACACGGGAGCAGCUUGGCCAGCCAGAGAAGCCUGCCAGCCCCAAGUUCAUUGUUACCUUGGACGGGGUCCCUAGCCCUCCGGGGUACUUGUCGGAACAAGAGGAGGAGGAGCCUAGUCCCAUGGAAGGGGUCAGGCCUCUUCCCACCAAAUCCACAACCAGCAAGGGCUUAAGGAGCCUUCGCGCACAACAGAUGCACAUUAUAUCCAGACAGUUGGAGACCACUAAUGUCGAGAUGGAGGCGGUGGGUGUCCUUCACAAAACAGAGCGCUGCAAGUACUGGCCUGCCUGCAAAAAUGGAGAUGAAUGUGCCUUCCAUCAUCCCACGCUGCCUUGCAAGGUUUUUCCCAACUGCAAAUUUGCAGAUAAGUGUUUGUUCAUCCAUCCCAACUGUAAAUAUGAUGCCAAAUGCACCAAGCCGGACUGCCCUUACACUCACGCCAGCAGGCGGACCCCAAUGCCGCCCCCUAAACCAGUACCAGCACCAAUACCAGCAGCAACUUCAACAAGUCAACUUUGCCGAUUUUUCCCGUCUUGCAAGAAAAUGGAGUGUUCUUUCUACCACCCCAAACAUUGUAGGUUCAACACACAUUGCACCAGAGUCGACUGCACAUUUUACCACCCUUCCGUUUCUGUACCGCCACGUCAUGCCUUGAAAUGGACUCGAAACCAAACUAGGAGGUGCUCCAUUGGUGAAAGCCAACCUAAAUAGAAAGGUCUUGACUGCUGGUGGAAGGACAGCAAGAUUGGGGAAAACCCGACCACCCUUUGAAGAGGGAGUUCUGUAAUAUCAGAAUGGCCACUCAGAUGACCCAUCCUGUUUCUGUCUGUACCAAAUGUAUACCUGAAAGUGGUAAGACUGUGAGAAGGACCUCUUCAGCUGAGAGAGAUAUCAGAGAAUAUGGUCUUUCUGAUACCCUGGACAGAACUCAUGCACAACUUUAUCAAUCAAAACAGGCGUUCUGCAUCUGUAGCACAAUCUGCAAACCAAGCAUUUGAAGGGGAGAACAGCCCAGUUUGGCACUGGAUACAUCCCGAUUCCCUGUUUGCUUUUUGAUGGAGCACUGCUUUUUAUGAAUUAAAUAAUAUUUGAGACAGAGCAAGAGGAGAUAAGCAGAGAUCUCCAGGAGAAAAGCCUGUAUUGUUCCAUCUGUUACUGAUUUUCACAGUAUUUGGGCAAAGUUGAGCCCUUUGUGGAACAAGUGAGAUUGAGCAGUCUACCUUGGCACCUGACUUAGCCUAAAAUGCAUUCUUACAAAGAUUAGAAGGCAGAGUGCAAUAUGGGCCACAUUCAUAUUCUCUCCUCCCACAAUUAUCUAAAAUCAGACAAACCUGUCAAAUCUUUUUUGAUGUAAUUGUAUUCCCCAGCACCUUUCAUCCUGAUCCAAAAUGUAUCUAUGGGGAAGCAAUUUAAGUUGCUUUCAGUAUACCGUAUUUCAAGAGAAAUGUGGGGAUAGCACCAAUGCAAAUGUUUAGGCAUCACCAGCAGUAAAGAAAGGUUACAACCUGUUUCUUUGUAACCCACUUGUAAGAUGCCUUAUUACACAUUUCAUUAUAUAACAUAAGAACAUCUAUCAGUCUUGUAUAGAUUACCAUUUCCAGCCUAUCACCUAGGAACUUGGUAGCUUCCAUACCCCUAGCAGGCAAGAAGAUAAAAGGUUUAUAAAAUCUCUUGCCAUCACAUAGAUCAUGUGAACCUGAUAGCCAAAAGAGACACACAAUUUCAUGCUGUAUAUCUGAUGUUGUACUUAUUUUCUGUUCUGCAUGCAAAAGCAGAUUUAUUCAAUCUGAAGAUACCCCUCCUUUCUUUAUCCUCUUACUUUUUUGGACCAACACAUGAAAUGCUAUUGAAUGGUUUAAGAUUGUAGCUAAAACAUUAUUCCAUUAGUGAAAAUAUUAAGGCAAAUCUAAAAACCAAAUAUACAUAUGUUCACAUAUAAACAACACAUGCACACAAACAAACAACUACUAUCAGAAGAGUAUGCCAGUUCAAUGUUAAAAGGAUGCAGACAGCAGGUUCACCCUAAGCCACAUUUAUACGGAUAGCACCUGAAAUGUUAUCUUGUUUACAAAUAAACAUUUUCCUAGCCAAGGUUCAGUAAUCCACAGAUAAAGGAAGCUUUGAAUUUAUUUUAUUCAGUUUCUCACAACUGCUUCAAUGCCUUAAAUUCACAACUUAAUGGGAUAUUUGCUUUAAAAUGAAAAGCAGGCUCACUACUGUGAAGAUAAUUGAUGACACCAACACUUUUUUCAUAAAAAAUGCAACCCGAAGGUCAUAGAGCUUUUCAAAAAAUCUCAUGCAUUCAGGGUUUUGGUUUGGAUUUUAAAAAUUACCGAAUUCCCAGGAUAUUAUGUUGUCUUCAUGGCCACCUCAGACUAUAAUUCAUGAUCACACUAGACUACAAUCCUGGAAUUAGUAUUCAUGUCUCCCAGGAAAAAUGUUAUGCUCAACACAUUAAAUUCAUAUUUUAAAAAGUCAUCAGGAACAGUUCUUUUAAAAUUACUGGUUUUCAUUACAGGGGAAGCUAACUAUUUUUACAGUAAGGAGUCUCCUGCUUUUGCCUGAUCAUCCAUCAGCCUUGUUUCUUGGGAGCUUGAAACAGGAUUUAAAGGGGCAUAAUGGCUAGGGAAUUUGCAAACUAAAGGAGGAGGAAGAGAGGCUGCCUGUUUUCAGUCGGGAAGGUUCUAGUACUCAGAAGUAACCUUUUACAAGUAACAAGUACUUGCAAUGCAUUAGAGGUUUGGGGUGACAGCAUUAUCAACAUUGCUACUGUUAAAAAUGGCAUGACUGGUAUUAUUAGAUGCUUUGAGCAUAAUGAAUAAUGUGUACUUGUUACUCCUAAAACUUUGUUUUGGUGGGGAGAGGAUUUGGGUGAACAUUUGUAUUUUGGAAGUGUAUUACAGUAGAGUUUCACUUAUACAACACUCACUUAUCCAACAUUCUGGAUUAUCCAGCGCAUUUUUAUAGUCGAAGUUUUCAAUAUAUCAUGAUAUUUUGGUGCGAAAUUCGUAAAUACAGUAAUUGCUACAUAGCAUUACUGUGUAUUGAACUACUUUUUCUGCCAGAUUUGUUGUAAAACAUGAUGUUUUGGUGCUUAAUUUGUAAAAUCAUAACCUAAUUUGAUAUUUAAUAGGCUUCUCCUUAAUCUCUCCUUAUUAUCCAACAUAUUCGCUUAUCCAGCGUUCUGCCGGCCCGUUUAUGUUGGAUAAGUGAGACUCUACUGUAUUUGAAAAAAUAAGGUGAAAACAGCUCAUUAGGACUGAGUGCAAUGAUGUGUGAACAUCUAAACCUUCCCCACUCACACACUUUUUUUCUUUUUGAGACAAUAGUUAGCAAAUUAUUUUUUGGGAAAUAUUACAACUGCAAGCUCUAAAAGGUUGUGGUGCUUACAAAGUUGAAAAUCUUUGUAACAAAAAAGGUGGUCUUGUUUCUGCCCAGUUCUUUUCCUGAAUGAACUCUGCUUUGUUUAAGAGCUCAUACAUUAUGUUAAGAGUUUACUGAUCAAGAAUAACUUGGCUUGGGCCAUGUAAAUAAUUAUAGCACUCAGGACUGAUGAAGUUGGAAUGCAACUUGGCUAUUACUAAGGCAGAAAAAAGCUCAGAAUUAAUUUUAACAAUGAUGGCUGAUGUGAUGAUAGAAACCAACUCUCAAAAAGGAUCUCUCUCAUUUUGGAACAAUAAUAGUUAGAUGCUGUGGUAUGGGAUAGAUUAGUCUGGUGGCACCUUUUAGUUGAAAAAUAGUAGCCAAUCAAAGGAUCGGUAAACCCAUCAUUCUAUGCUAAAUUUGAUAUCCUGUCUGAAAUGUAUUGCCUGUGAAAUCUUUAAAGGUUUAGUAGCAUUCUUUAGAUAGCUCCAGAGAUCCUAUGUGCAAAGAUUCUUCACAAAGUGAAAACAAUUUCUCUGAAUCCAUCCAUGGAUCUACUCGCAGAAGUCCAGACAAUUCAAUUUAUGUACAUGUAUGGCAAAUUAGUAAAAACAGGAAUUAAUUCAUGGUGCAAUAUUAAAACUCCACAAAAAAUAGAAGAUGAGGAAAAGAAAAGCUGGUAUGUGUCUAGGAAGAAUUCCUCAAGACUGCCACUUUGCCCAGAUCUCCUCACCAUUCAUGAAGGCAGAAUAAGGUAUCCUACUUGGAGUCUUUCUGUCGUCUCUCUGCCAGCUUCUGCCUGAUGUGUUCUUGAUGCAGUGCACAAGCUUUCCACUUAAUGUACUUAUAAAUGGAACACAUUUCUUGCCUUUAUAGCAUCUCAGUGCAUCUCUGGAUGAAGUGUGGAUGAACCACGUGCUAGACUUUUUCCUUAUCAGACAAGUCUUUCUCUUUCAUCUAUUAGAUGCUGUCAACAAUCUCCUGGAGUCUACAGAAUGUUGGCAAGUAUUCCAGUUUCAUACACCUCCUGGUCAAGAGAUUUUUAUGGGGAUAUAGGAAUCUACAUCCCUCUGCAGCAGACCGUAUGGCUCACUGAAGCCUUGAAUUGGUUGUCAAGGAAGCCCUUUGAACUCAUGGCCUCCUGUGAUCCGAUACCUACCAGGAAGAUAUCCAUCUUAGUGACUUUAACUUGUGCAAGGAGGGCAGGUGAACUCUGUGUCCAAUUGGUUGACCACUUGCAUAAAGGUUCCUUCCCAUGUCAGCUUUUCACAUCAAUCCGGAGAUUGUACUUCCAGCAUUCAUACAGAACUCCACUUUGGACCUUGAAUAUUUUCUUCACUACCUUGAUAUGCGUUGAGCAUUAAAGUUCUAUGUCAAUCGGAUAGCUUCUUUCCAUAAAUCUCAGAAACUUUUCCUCUACUUCUGGGCUGCCCAGAAGGAUCUACCAGUCUCUGUACAGUGUUUUUCUAAGUGAGUUGCAGACAACUCUUUGUUUAGCCUAUACUCUUGCUGAGAAAGAACCUCUGACUCAAGUGAUGAGUCACUGGAUGCUUGGAGAAGAGCACUUAUAUCUUCUCAAAGCAGUGGCCUCAACUGUCUUCUUGAAGAGAAUCCCACUUCAUGACAUCUGCAGAGCCACAACAUGGUUCCACUCUUUGAUCGUCACAUUGCAUUACAGAUUAGAUACAAGGUCAGACUGACACUGCUUUUGGUAGGGCUGUUCUCUUCUCCUGUGUUACAUGGCACUAACACUUCCUGUAGUGAGUAGAUUGUUAGUCUCCCAUUAGUGUGCAUCACAGAAAUCUUGAAGAAGAACAGUUGCUCACCUGUAACUGACUCAAGUUGUCAUAUAUGAAUUCACACAAAUCCAGCCAUCAUCCCCUUAAUAUUGGCUCUCCAUGACUUCUUGGCUGCUACUUCUGUGUCCAGGAACUGUGGGUUUUGAUAGCAACACACUGAUCAUGUUGGGAGGAAGCUGCUGCCAAAACACAUCUUGCAGUUCUCUGGGUUCAAGGGAUGCACUGCACAGCCACAGAUAACAAGUCCAAGAAUCACAGUUAUAGGUAAUUAACCUGUUCUUAUCAUGCCUUUUGGACUGGAGGGCUGAAAAAUAGAUAGGGAGUCCCAGAACCCAAACCAACUCUUGAAAGAUUUUUGAGUCUUAAAAGCAACUGUGGCACUGUUUUCAAUGAAGUUUUCAAGAGCACAGCAUUGGCCUACUUGAACAACAACGCCCAUCCUUUCCUCUUCUAACUCUAUAGUUACAGAAAUAAGAGUCACCUGAAAUCUUCCAUUUAGAAUAUUCUACUAAGGAGUAAAUCCCAAUAUUAUCAACAUGUACAGUUAUGGUGAAGUUACAAUUUUGAUGUUAGAAAUGAGUGAAACAUACAGGCACUUGCAUGUCAAAAAUCUAACUAGUAAACAUGUGUUAUUAGACUAAUAUACAGUUGCUUUCAAAUAUCUUCAUUCUUAGGUGGAACCUGUGAGUGCUUGUAUAUAUGUGGCUUUAUGAUUUCAGCUAGAGAGCAAGAGAUUCAACUAGUCUUAUUCUUGUAUAAAAAUUAAAGAAGCAACUUGUAUGAUACAUUUGAUUUACGGUCACUUCGAUUUUACCAAGUGAUAAUGUGAAAAUGCACAGAACAAUUUCUAUUGCUGUGAUUUGAUUUUUUUUUUUUUGCUUCUGGUGACAACUUAAAGUUUCAUCAAUAUAUGAACAGUAAAAUGAACAGCCUAUUUCCCAUUUCUAGUACAACACUGUAAGCAAACACAGCAAUUUCUCUUUCAUUGAUAACACUUUUAUUCACAAGGCAAAAAACGGAGUUAGACUUUUAGGUUGUGGGCAAGGCACUCACAAUGUGAGCAAAUUUCAUUCUGCUCACAGAACUAAUUUAAUGCUUGAGUAAUUCAAAAACACUAAAUUAGCCUUGAAGAACGGGUUCAUGCAUGUCUCCUAGCAUUCACCAGACAUGACGACAACCCAGGCCUUAAAACCAAUAGAAUUCUGCAAGUCCUAGGAACAAAUAUAACUCUUGGGAGGUGUUCUCUUUUGCUGAACUAGACAAAGCUUUUGUUAGGUCAUUUCUAUCUUUUAUAUUAACUUCAUCCAUUUUUGUUUAAAAAAUUAAGAGCUGUAAGGUGGUUUUCCUUUCAGUAAUAAAAUAAGGAGUCUUCUAUUUUAGCAAGAGUCAGUACUCAGUACUUAAACAUUCAUGCUGAAAGUAAACACAUCGAUGUACAGCAUUAGGUCAGUAAUAACAUCUCUUGAUUUGAAAUCCAUGAUCUUACAAGGAGACUGUACAGAACCUUGCUUCCUCUUAUCCAUAUGUUUCAGCAUCUGGCAGUGAGUGGGAAACAAAUGUAGGUUAUCUGAUACUGUAGUAAUAUGACUAGACUCGGUACAUUUGAAGUAGUCCAUUCCUCUUGUACACGCAAGUCAGUCCGACAGCUGAUUGCCUGUCUUUUAUCAGCACCAUUUCUUGAAGCAUGCAGGGCACUGGAGAAUGUCUCUUUGCAACUGUGGGGCAUUUACUCCUCUUACUUCAUGCAGUGUACUCUUUAAAAAGUUCUUCAUGACUCUCAGUGAGGCAUAUGUACACAUUUCCAGACAAAUAUGCUGUAUUUUCAAACAGAAAUGAAAGGAGAAAUGAAAAUUGCUGCAAGUUAAUGGAUUUUAUAAUGGAAUACAUAACAACUGCAAAAUAGAUUUACACAUAUGCUGGCAGUUAGCAAAUAGGUUUUUCCCCUAGGGUUUUUGCUGGUGCAUCUUAAUCACUGCUUGUCUUUUCAGCAUUUGAGUUUGUUUUCAGAAAUUGCAGAUGACAAUUUGCACCAUUAAUAUUUCAAGAUUUUUUCCUAUUAUUGCAUUUGUUAUUGAAAUUGUAACAAUCAUUUCUAUUUUGGGAAUAAAGAGUUACUUACCUGCUAUCAUCUCCACCUGCACUGACAACGUAUCUGUCUCCACUUGUAAAGCGAAUAUUAGUCACAUGGGCCGAGUGACCUAGAAAUCUUUUAUGUUUUGCCUUUAAAAUAAGAAAAUUCUCCAUAUCAGUUAGACUGUUUCUAAAAUGCACACCUAACCAUGCUAUGUGAAUAUUUAGAAGCAUUAAUUUGCUUCCAUUAAUUUGCGCCAACCUGUACCAUACUAUCCCUGAUGCCCCAGUAAAUCUGGAAAUAGGUUCUUGGGCAUUUCUCCCAUUUCUGAUUGGAGAAAUGGAGCACAGUACUUUUGCAAUAAGACAUUUAGGAUUGAUCUUUUUUAUGCCUCUCAAUGCUGGGUCUGACUUCUAGCACUAUUUUGGCAAGACGGUUGCAAGUGCGGGUACAACAAGACUGGUGAAAAGAUCAGAAAGUCCUAGAUGUUGUCUUUAUUCUUCUGUUUUUAUUUUGUAGAUCUAUUCAUGUUUUGUUUAUUGUAUACUUUUCUGUCAGCCUCCAGUGUGAUCAAAGACUUUUCAUGACAGAAUGUAUAAAAUCAGAAAGAACAUGAACAGAAUCUUGGAAUUUCUAAUCAGUCUGUUGCUUGCUUCAAGUGAAUGGCAAAUUAUGCAGCUAGAGUCAGGACCCCCUCACUGAUCUUAUUAAUCAUGCAUUUUUUUAUUUGUAUCUUAAAUGUUCAGCAGUAAAAGGACCCAAAAGAUCCCGCUAAAAAGAACUGUGAGCAGAGAAGAUUACUCUUUUUUAGAUAACAUAAAAAGCAUACUGUUGCCUCAUUUCUAGUCUCAAUAGGUCACUAUAAUUAAAAAAAAAGCUUCAUGUUCUUCAAGCAAAAAGUUCUUACAAAUUUUUCUGGACAAGGGAAAUCGAACAGCUUGACCAUGCCAAAGUCAUCGCCUGUUACAAGGCUGAUUCCCGAAUGGGAAACACAGGCACAAUUCACAUCAGCUUUCUCAGCAUGCCUGGACCAGAUUCCAAUAACUUCAUCUCCUAGAACACUAAACAGAGAAGAGAGAAAAGGAACAUCUAAAUAAAUCUGCUUAAUCACCUUGUAAGUGUCGAACCUAAAGCACCUAAUUUAUCUGGAUAGGAACCCCUGGUGGCGCAAUGGGUUAAACCCUUGUGCUGGCAGUGUCAUGAAAUAUGAAUAUAUGGUUGGAAUGGACUUGAAUGGAAGGAAGAAAUGAAUGAGAGCUAAUAAUUUUGAAGACAGCAAUCUGUAGAAUAAGGCCUGCAAUUACUAACUACCUGCUUGCUGAACUGUAAUUAAAAGUUCCUAAUGAGACCUGAAAUAGUUGGCCUGCCUAAUAAACUGUGGUAAGAACUGUGACUGAUAAGAUAAAUGUUUACAUCAAGUUAAAGAAAUGUUUACAACUGUUAAGAAGGAAGUCAACACAAGGCCAACACCAAUCAAGAAGAAUCAACAUCUGGCCAGGAAACUAAGAUGGAGUCAGGAUAUUCCAGGAUGGAAGACUUCCAUCAUUCAUUUACAACUUUGGGACAGCAUCAGCUAAAUAUUGCUACAUAAGUGACCUUAUGACAAGCCAGAAAGUAUGACAGACAGAGACGCUGGUUACCUGUCAUGCUCAGUGGAGAUGGUCUAUGGGAAAGUGACAGAUAUGCAAUGGAAGCAGUCUGGUCACUUUGGGCCCGCUUUUCUCAUGGGAAGACAAAGGAGUGUGUUGUGGAGUCAUGUUCGUUUUGGAGUUUUGGCGUUUUGACUAUUUGGAACUAUGUGUUACCAAGCUGCAGGGAAAGCAGGGACUGGCCGAAGCAGGUGAUUCUCCAAGGAGGGAGAAAAUGAUAUGGUAAUAUUUGGAUGUGUGCAUGAGGAUAAAUGCAUGUACCUAUGUGUGAAUGCUGAGUGAAAAUAUAACAGCCCUUUUGUCUAUUUGUUAGCCAAUGUAAUAGGUGUGUGAAUCCAAUGUAGUUAUAUAGAAUUUGUAUAUCUAUAUGUCCAAUGUUGUUUGUGUAGAAGUUCUGAUAACCUCUCACACUGAAAUUGCAAUAAAAAGAACCUAUGCUUUAAA